rnacentral:sRNA from 1 species
ACACAUCUCUAAAUGCUCUGAAUGCUUCAGAGACAGUGAUUUCAUCAUACUUCUCAGAGCUCUAUCCCUUAGCUAACCUGGAUUCUAACUCUUAGUCACUAAUUCUAACUUAUAACGACUCUUCAGAUGUUGAAGUGCUCUGAUUAUUGAAGUAUGACAAUUGAUUAAUAAUAUAUACUGAGGAUGCGUAAAAGAUGUUUAGUGUGUGUAUAUUUUAGUGAGGGAUUUGAGCUGAGCAUGAACCAUGUUCAACUGUACUGCGUAACCCGAAGAUGGGAUAUUGGAGAACAACAUGAAUAAAGAAUAAUACUGAGGGAUAUUGCUAGAUAUUAGUGUUAUAUAUGUCUGGAGCUUCAUAUCAUUGCUGGAUAAUCAUAUCAUAGAUAUUCAUACCAU